rnacentral:lncRNA from 13 species
GUUUAAUUGAAGAUAUUGGUACAUUAUGCAGACACAUAAAUACAAUGUGAUAUCAUACAAUAUAAACACAAUUCAAUUACAUGAUCAGCCUAACUACAUGGACAGAUGUUUGGUGUCUUGUAGUAUUUCUUCAACUUAGAGAAAAUAAUCCUUUAUUGUUUAUUCAUUAAGAUCAUGAUCCCACCCUGGACCAGGAGGACCCAGUCCUUGUUCAGGUAAGAAUACUGUAGGCCUAUCAAUAGUCUGGGUACCGGUCGGUUUCUGCUCUCUUGCCAAUUCCAUUGUGGCAAAAUGAUAUUUGCAUGACAAUCCCAUAAGAAGUUGUCAGAGAGCUGAAACCACCUGGCACCCAGGCUAUAACAAUACUGCUUCAUUAUCAGGACUGGUUCAAUAACAAUCUGACAUUCAAACUGUAAUUUUACUGACUUGAAAAUGGAUCCUGAUUUAUUCCUUAGGUUGUGGAUGAGGAGGUUGGGCACCGUCCCUGUCUGGCUUUAGUCCCUUGGUCUGGACCUCUGUGGGUUCCCAGCUCUGUAAGUCCAACAGUACUGAUACUCUCUUGUCUUCACUCUGGUCUAUAGACUGGUUUAUGUAACUUAAACACAGACAUGACGUUUUCUGAAGAACAAUAUGGGAAUACAUUUCUGUAAACAUAUUCCAUAUUUUUUACAACUACAGCUGACUUAUUACCUUACCCUUGCUGGGAGGAUGAUAGUGAGAGAGCUGGCAGUGUUAAACACACAGAUUUUCAUGAUGGAGCAGCCUAUUUCCAUCUGUUUCACUCCUGUAGGGAGGAUGGUGUGGGAGGAACUGACUUCUCAAACUGAACAGCCAAAUAGUGAAGACUCUGGUUUUCCCUUUGAGAAGAUGCAGCUGGUUGGGAACUGGGGUUCAUUUAAUUUCCAUACCUGGAUAAUCCGUUAUGGACGAGUGCAGGUACUUCAGACAUAUUCUUAA